rnacentral:rRNA from 1 species
UACGAAGGGGGCUAGCGUUGCUCGGAAUCACUGGGCGUAAAGCGCACGUAGGCGGAUCGUUAAGUCAGGGGUGAAAUCCUGGAGCUCAACUCCAGAACUGCCCUUGAUACUGGCGAUCUCGAGUUCGAGAGAGGUUGGUGGAACUCCGAGUGUAGAGGUGAAAUUCGUAGAUAUUCGGAAGAACACCAGUGGCGAAGGCGGCUCACUGGACUGGUAUUGACGCUGAGGUGCGAAAGCGUGGGGAGCAAACAGG